ensembl:lncRNA
AUGUUUCAUCACAGCAGGAGUCAGUUUUGCGAGCGCAUCUCGACGUGCCUGGACUGUCAGAGUUUUCCGUCAGUCAGCAAGAGUGACAGAAAGCAAUCAUUACCACGCUCUGGGUCCGAUUGCAGAGCAAUGAGGACCAACUAUAGAAUACUGCAUUCAAACCCUACAUUCGUCCAUUGGAUUCCAUUCCCAUGUUCUGCAUUCAGGAUCCUUUACAAACCACUUUUCAUCCUCCACACACACACAGUGGGUUCAAGUGCUGACAGGGAGAAUAUGUCAAAAACGCUGCGUCAAAGACACUUUCCGCUUUGGACAUGGAGAAAAAGAGGGACAGCAGAAGAGGACCUGACAGAAGACUCUGCUCUGACACAAGUCACUGCUUCACUUUCUGAAUCCUAGGCAGUAUUCUUACACAAAGCUGUCUGACAGCUCAGGAGUAAAACAGCCACUUUAUUUUUACAUAAUGAUUCCAGAGGACUUGUACAAGUUUUAUUGUGCUUUUUGUCAUUUUUUUUAAGCUUGACAGUAUAAACCAACAUUGACUUGUAUGGACAGAAGAAGCUCAGACAUUCUGCCAGAUGUCUCCUUUUGCAUUUCACAGAAGCCAGAAAAAAAAAAGGAAGUUAAGUUAAUUACAAUGUUUUCAUUUUUUGGUUGAACUUUAGUUACAUUAUGAUCUAGAGGAGACAUGAACUAUAAACACUGUGCUUUUGAGACAGACACCCUACCACUUAAGGAACUGCUCGAGCAAAAAAGCACCAGAUAAAACAUCAAAUUAGCAAUUAAUAAUGUUGCAGAUGAUCAGAAGAACAUUUACAGGUAGAUGUUCUUUUCUGUUUUCUCAAUUGAAGAAAUGGGUAUGGAAUUUGAGCAUUAAAAAUUACAUCUUACUCACACGGCAUGAUAUUUAAUGCUCAGUGUAACCUUGUUGCAUCCAAUUCAAGCCGUUUUAUAUCUUUUCAAAAUAAAAGAAAACCUAUCCAGAUUCA